UUGGCCUGAACUGCACCUCCCCCUGCCAUUGUCUACAAGGGUCAAGCUGUGACCAUGUGUCUGGCAACUGUCCUGGUGACCAAUGUGCACCUGGUUGGACUACUAGUAACUGUAGUGUUGCCUGCGAAUCGGGAUCAUACGGACAGAACUGCUCCAUGGACUGUCACUGUGACAAGUGUCAUCACAUCAAUGGAUUCUGUGCAAUGUCUUCUCAAUGCCACGAUGGGUACACAAUGGAUAACGGUUUCUGCAAACGUAAAGAUUCAUUGUUUUCAUUUUUUACAUUCCUUGUUCCAUGCUUAUUUGCAUAUACCAAAUUACGCAUGUACGCACAAGACACAACACAUGCAAUAGAUUAUAUGUUAAUUUCUAGAUAUACUAGUGAAUUGCAGCGAAGGAAGAGACAAGAGGGAUUAAUACCAUAAUGAUCGCUGGCGUUGACUACUACUACUUCUACUACUACUACUACUUCUACUGCUUCUACUUUAACUAUUACUACUACUACUUCUACUACUACUACUACUACUACUACUACUACUACUACUACUACUACUACUACUACUACUACUACUACUACUACUACUACUUCUAUUACUACUACUACUACUACUACUACUACUACUACCACUACUACUACUACUACUACUACUACUACUACCACUACCACUACCACUACUACUACUACUACUACUACUACUACUACUACUACUACUACUACUACUACUACUACUACUACUACUACUACCACUACUACUACUACUACUACUACUACUACUACUACUACUAAUACUACUACUAAUACUACUACUACUUCUACUACUACUUCUAGUUCUACUACUACCACUUCUACUACUACUAUUACUACUACUACUAUUAAUACUACUACUAUUAAUACCGUUUCCAAGUGUAAAUCGUGAGUGGUGUCAAAGGUUUGUAAUCGCAUUUCGAUAUUAUAAAAUGAAAUGACUAUCAACUGACAUGCUUUAUAAAGUCGUAGAAUCAAUAACGUUUUAUAAUUAAUGUCUUAGCCAAUGAAGAUACUAAGCAAUCGUUGACAAUUAUAUGGAUUGUAACGACGUUGGGGCUAUGUGUGCUGGUAGUUGGCGUCACCAUUGCUAGCCUGUGUAUCCGAAGGAAGAAAAGUAAGAAAUAUCAGUUUUAAUAUACACUGUAUAAUAGGUUCUAGAAUCUUGGCAACAAGAAGGUAUUUAGGUGAUAUUUGUAUUUAUUUCAUUUCAUCGUGAAUCCAAAAAAUUUCGAUUCUGUUGCUCUUGGAUAUUGUACCCGAUUAUUUAUUUAUGUGUAACUUAAUCAUUUUUUUAAACUUUAACUAUUGUAUUAUUUUAAUUUUAAUUGCGAUCCUAUGAUAUUUAUGUUAAUGAUCGCACGUGUGUUUUGUUUAUGCUGACCAAAUGCCGAGGUCAAAGUUAUAAUCUGUGUUUUAUGUUAAAUGUUUGCAUCGUAUGUUGUGACCUGUAUUGUAUUGGCGAUCGGGGAAAAUACGGUUAAUGUAUGUUAACAAGAAAUUCUCUCCGAAGUUUAUUUUUCAUUUCUAUGCGAUGUGUACGCUUGGUGUAAAAACAAAUAUGCCCAUUUGACCAACUAUUUUAUUUUCUGAGUAGAAUUUUCAUGAAAAUCAAUGCUAUGAAGUAAUCAAUAUGUUUUAUUCAACUUAGUAGAGGCAAAAAAGAAAGCUCUGCAAACCGCUCAACAGUAAGUGAAUACUUUUUUGAAAAGAUUACGUUUUGUUCAAAUGGUGAGAUUUAAAUAUUAUAACUAAAGUGUGAAUAUAAAAUGACAAACAUGAACUCAAAUCACCGUUAUCGACAAAAGUAUAAAGUAUACAAAAUAUUGAUAACUAUGUUAUUUCAUGUUUAGGAUCGAACUUCAACCAUCGAAUAGAGCUCAAGGUUAGUGCUUAAUAUCAUUCCAUUACCAAGUUAUAUUUAGUAACCCAUACGUCAUUUCUUAAUAAAUAUAUGCUUCAUAUCAUUUGUCUCUUGGUGUGCACGGAGGCAUACGCAAUGUGUGAAAAACGUAUACAUAAUGGUAUUCACACUAUUAUAAAAAAGAGGUAUUAACAAACAUAUGGGGUGUUGAUAAUCUCUAAAUGCAUUCAAUGACAGUUGUGAUAAAUGCUAUUUGUAAAAUUUGUUACAUCAACCUCGUUCAUUAUGAAGUCUUGCCCGACGACACUCAUGACGAUAACAUCGUGCAUUAUGAGGUCGUCCCUGACGCCAUUACAAAGCAUGUGGCGACACCAAUGUACGAGUCUCUCCAGAUGACAGAUACGCAUCUGUACUCUGGUUUGCGGGAAGCCAUCCCCAUGUCCCCAGCACCGUUUGAUGUAUUGGGCCUAACUGCUGAGAGCAAAACUCCAGUUAGAAGGCAUUUUGCAGUGGCAGAAGAACUGGACAAUGCCACUACAUUCGAGUCAAAGUACACGACGGCCGAAGAGGAGGAAAAUGACAACGCAGCAGAGACAAAUUACGCAAACUGUUAGAGAAUGACACUGAAGAAGGAAAAAACUAUGAAGCCGAAAACAAAGAGUACCAGUUUGUCAAAAAGGGUACACAUACAUGUAUUGCUUCCGAAAAGGCAUAUUUGUACAUAGCUUGAACUUUAUAUGAAUCAAUUUUUAAGUCCUCAAUUCGAAUUAACAUUUAAGGUUUACAGGUAUAAAUAUUUGGCCACGUCAUCAGGGGUGCUUUAUAGAAAUACCCGCCCGAGAAUGAAAUCCCUUGGUUUCAGCAUAUUCGGUAUACAGCCGUCACGCUCAUUAUUAGGACGUAAUUUUGUUUAUUUAUAUGACGUCAAUUGGUGCUGAUUGUGCUCUUUUGUUGAUUUUUUUUUUUGUUCACAAUUAGUGGUGGUGGUGCUGCUGCUAUUUAUUGUUAUGUUUUAAAUAAAUACCGAAUAUUGUGAGAGUAUUAUACGAUCAAUAAAAUACCAGGUGUAAAUGUCGAAUACCAAUACGUUUAUUUGUUCGGCAUACAUAUAUGUGCCUACAACAAAGAUUAAUGGUUUAUGUUUUCAAUGCUUCGCUAAAUGAACUGUUAUCAGCCCAAUUCCUUAAUGAGUUUAUGAACUUUGUUACAAGCAGUGAGAAAAAAUCUGCAUGCAUAUUUUGAAUUCCGAUGACAUGUUCAAUACAAUAUAGUUGGAGAUGAGGACGGCUGGUAUAUCUUUUUAUGCAAUGCUUUUCAGCAAAAGAACAAACCAUACUCUUACCAAAACUGUUGAUAAACACUUACGGUUAAUAAUAAAGGAAGUUAUCUUAUUUGA